GACGUAGGGCGCAAGCGUUUGUCCGGAUUUAUUGGGCGUAAAGAGCUCGUAGGCGGCUUGUUGCGUCGGCUGUGAAAUCCCCGUGGCUUAACUGCGGGCUUGCAGCCGAUACGGGCGGGCUGGAGUUCGGUAGGGGAGACUGGAAUUCCUGGUGUAGCGGUGAAAUGCGCAGAUAUCAGGAGGAACACCGGUGGCGAAGGCGGGUCUCUAGUACGGUACUGACGCUGAGACGCGAAAGCGUGGGGAGCGAACAGG
rnacentral:rRNA from 1 species